rnacentral:rRNA from 1 species
GUGGGGAAUAUUGCACAAUGGGGGAAACCCUGAUGCAGCGACGCCGCGUGAAGGAAGAAGUAUCUCGGUAUGUAAACUUCUAUCAGCAGGGAAGAUAGUGACGGUACCUGACUAAGAAGCCCCGGCUAACUACGUGCCAGCAGCCGCGGUAAUACGUAGGGGGCAAGCGUUAUCCGGAUUUACUGGGUGUAAAGGGAGCGUAGACGGUGUGGCAAGUCUGAUGUGAAAGGCAUGGGCUCAACCUGUGGACUGCAUUGGAAACUGUCAUACUUGAGUGCCGGAGGGGUAAGCGGAAUUCCUAGUGUAGCGGUGAAAUGCGUAGAUAUUAGGAGGAACACCAGUGGCGAAGGCGGCUUACUGGACGGUAACUGACGUUGAGGCUCGAAAGCGUGGGGAGCAAACAGGA